AUUGAACGCUGGCGGCAGGCCUAACACAUGCAAGUCGAGCGGAUGAGGGGAGCUUGCUCCUUGAUUCAGCGGCGGACGGGUGAGUAAUGCCUAGGAAUCUGCCUGGUAGUGGGGGAUAACGUUCCGAAAGGAACGCUAAUACCGCAUACGUCCUACGGGAGAAAGCAGGGGACCUUCGGGCCGUGCGCUAUCAGAUGAGCCUAGGUCGGAUUAGCUAGUUGGUGAGGUAAUGGCUCACCAAGGCGACGAUCCGUAACUGGUCUGAGAGGAUGAUCAGCCACACUGGGACUGAGACACGGCCCAGACUCCUACGGGAGGCAGCAGUGGGGAAUAUUGGACAAUGGGCGCAAGCCUGAUCCAGCCAUGCCGCGUGUGUGAAGAAGGCCUUCGGGUUGUAAAGCACUUUUGUCCGGAAAGAAAUCUUCCAACUUAAUACGUUGGGAGGAUGACGGUACCGGAAGAAUAAGCACCGGCUAACUUCGUGCCAGCCGCCGCUGUAAUAC
rnacentral:rRNA from 1 species